GCGAUCGUAGUUCAAUUGGUUAGAGCACCGGUUUGUGGUACCGGAAGUUGCGGGUUCAAGUCCCGUCGGUCGCCCCA
rnacentral:tRNA from 1 species